AGCGAUAGCUGGUUACUUACGAAAAGAAUAUUAGUUCCGCCUAAAGUUGCUUACACACUUCCCAAUGCUUAACUUUAGAGUAACUCAAAUAGGGUACAGCCUAUUUGAAACAGGACACAACCUAAACUGGAGGGUAAUUUAAUGCUUUUACUCCCAAGCAAGUAGGCCUAAAAGCAGCCAUCUUUUAAAAUGCGUCAAAGCUUAGCUAAGCCAGCACCCAUCUCAUAAAUAAUACACAACCCCCUACCAAUAGUAAGUAGUUCUAUAAACUAUAGAAAAUAUUAUGCUAAAACUAGUAACAAGAAGGAACAACCCUUCUCUUUUAUACAAACAUAAACCAGCUUUGGAUAAACCACUGGUAAUUAACAGCCCUAAAUAAUAAUAGUAACAUCUCCAGAAACCCCUAUUAAUAUAUUCUGUUAACCUAACACAAGAGUAUAACAAGAAAGAUUAAAAGAGGAGGAAGGAACUCGGCAAACUAACAAUCCCGCCUGUUUACCAAAAACAUCGCCUCCUGGCCACAUAGGAGGUCCAGCCUGCCCAGUGAGUAAUUUAACGGCCGCGGUAUACUGACCGUGCAAAGGUAGCGCAAUCACUUGUUCCUUAAAUAGGGACCCGUAUGAAUGGCAUCACGAGGAUUUAACUGUCUCCCCCCUCUAAUCUGUGAAACUAAUCUCCCUGUGAAAAAGCAGGGAUAAUUACAUAAGACG
rnacentral:rRNA from 1 species